rnacentral:lncRNA from 1 species
UCAGAGUCUGAACCAACUCCGCAGCAUGAUCCAAUGAUUCAAAUUGAAAACUGAGCAGUCAUCUAACCGUGAUCAAAUAAAUAUGAAUACAAUUUCUUCGAUACAUAAUGAAAAGUAUACAUAUUAACCAAGGAGAGUGUCCAAAUUUGGUGUGUUUCCAAACUUGAAGCAGCUUAUAAUCAUUGAAUGCAACAAUUUGAAGUCAUUGCCUGAACGCAUUCACACCCUCACAGCCCUUCGAGAGUUGAGGAUAGAUGGUCUUCCAAAUCUUGUGUCAUUUGCAGAAAGGGGUUUGCUUCCCAACCUCCGACAUUUUAGCAUUCAGAAUUGUGAGAGACUGAGGGUUCUGGUGAGAGAGCACUGGGGUUUGCAACAACUUGUCUCCCUUGAAGAAUUUUAUAUUGGAGGAAGAGCAAGUGAUGAUAUCUUGGAGAUGUUGCUAAAGGAACAGCUGCUCCUACCACUCUUCACACUUUAGGCAUCGACGAAAUUACAAGUCUGAAAUCUUUGGACAGAAGGGGACUUAAGACACCUCACUUCUCUUCAAUGCCUACAAAUUGGAAGCUGUACAAGUGUCGAAUUUCUGCAACUUCAACACCUCACUUCUAUAUAUUAGGGAGUGCGACCUGCCAAAAGAGGGUUUGCCGCCAUCUCUUUCUUCUCUUCGGAUAGUAAUGUGUUCUGCCCCGGCGAAAAGAUAUGAGAAUAAGACGGGACAAGAUUGGGACAACAUCUCUCACAUUCCUUGCCCUGGAGAGACAAAGUACUACUUUUCUAUAUUUCACCAUCAACUCACAACUCUCAGACCAAACUCAGGUUUGUACUUCAAAUAACUGGCUUUACUGGUUUUCUUCUAAUGGAAUACAAAAACCCAAAUAUAUAUUCCUUUUUUGUAACCGAAAUACAGUUUUAAACUAUUUUUAUGUCCGCAAAUUCGUUGAAUUACCCAAAAAAUUUUGAUUUGCCAUCAGUUGUGCAUCCAAUCAACAAAUUUUACAGUUGCCAACAAAGCAUAGCAUAUUGAUUGAAUGUUCUUCCCAGAUCAUGGUUUCUGUUCUUCAGCACAUCUCUUAUAACAAUUUGUGCGUAACACAAACAGAGUCUGAUUUCUAUUGUUAUUUUUCUCAGAAAAUUCUCCUUCUGUUUACUUUAUUUGUCAUUGAGGUUGCUCAAUUUAUCACAACUUAUAUCCUAUUCAAGUCUCAAAUGCUGAAUAAUUAGUAGUCUUUUGGGAGAUUCACUAUUAUACCCAAUAUGGGGGCCCAAAUUAUAAAAAUACCCUAUAUAAAAUGGACUUUAGAAACACACCCAAAGCCCAUUUACAACAUAACAAAAAAGUUUUUAACUUCUUAUAAAUUACAAAACUGCCAUCAAUUUCUUAAAACAAGCCCAACCCCAAAAUCUCAUAAAAAUACCCAAAGCACUCAAUAGGGCAUCAAAGUAAUUUAAUAAUCAAUAUUAAAUUCAAUAAGGCUAGCUAUCUUUUUUUGGGUUUUUUUUGGGUUUGUUUAUAGGAAUUCAAUUGUGUAGGGUUUAUUUAUAAUAUUAGUGCUAGAAAUGGGUAUAUCACUAAAUAUCUCUAGUCUUUUUGCAGGAUAGCAACCUUCUCUUGGAGAGCUUUUCCCUUGCUAGGUUUCUUUACGUGUCGUCUUCAUUUCCAGAAGAGGGUUUACCAUUGUAUAUAGCCUUUUGGUUUGCUAGCAACGGAAAGAUUCAGCUGGCUGGAAUAUCUCAAUUGACAAUUUCCUCAUAAAAAUGUAUUU